rfam:Aedes aegypti strain Liverpool supercont1.260 genomic scaffold, whole genome shotgun sequence.
CAUAUGGUCCUUUUUAGGACCACCAAAUAAAAGGCCAAAAAGAGU